GCCUUCUUAGCUCAGGGGUAGAGCGUUCCACUCGUAAUGGAAAGGUCGCUAGUUCGAAUCUGGUAGGAGGCA
rnacentral:tRNA from 1 species